CCUACGGGUGGCUGCAGUGGGGAAUAUUGCUCAAUGGGGGAAACCCUGAAGCAGCGACGCCGCGUGAGGGAUGAAGGAUUUAGGUAUGGAAAGCCCUUUUAGUAGGGAAGAAAAUGACGGUACCUGAGGAAUAAGCACCGGCUAACUACGUGCCAGCAGCCGCGGUAAUACGGAGGGGGCAAGCGUUAUCCGGAUUUACUGGGCGUAAAGGGUGCGUAGGCGGGGUAAUAAGUCAGAUGUGAAAGGCUGGGGCUCAACCCCAGAACUGCAUUUGAAACUGUUAGUCUGGAGUGCAGGAGAGGUAGGUGGAAUUCGUGGUGUAGCGGUGAAAUGCGUAGAGAUCAAGAGGAACACUGAUUGCGAAGGCGGCCUGCUGGACUGUAACUGACGCUGAGGCUCGAAAGCGUGGGGAGCAAACAGGAUUAGAUACCCGAGUAGUC
rnacentral:rRNA from 1 species